CGAAUUUUGUUACAGCAAAAACUGAAUGGGUGGCAAGAUGAAUAUCAUUAUUAUUAAAAGUUUCUUUUUGAACUUCUCGGGUUAAUAUACAUGAACUUGAUUAUCUUUUUAAGCAGUUAAAUAUACAUGGUUGGCAAGAUGACUAUAGUUGUUAUAGCAAAAAUAGUACAUUUUUUCAAGAAAAGUUUCUGUUUGAACUUCUCCGGUUAAUAUAGAUGAACUCAAUUAUCUUUUUAAUAUGCACUCACAUGAGCUCGUUUGGAUUUGUGUGUAUAUUUGUAACACAAUCAGUUGAGAUCUGGAGAGAUCGUAAGUUCAGUUGGCCUUGGCAUCACGAGCGGGUUCAGUUCGAUCUCGCACAGUGGGCAGGUCCCCGAUGGUGUGUGCGUCAGGUCUACUCGCACGAGUGGACGUCAAAUCACGCAAGUGGGCAGGUCCCCAAUGCUCGAUCCAGGAGGUGCUAGCUCAUGCUGGCUGGAACUAGGAUGCAAAACGGUUGACGGAUCCAUGCCGCACAAGCACUGGUACUUGAAGGGUGCAGACUUGGCAGCGGAGUGGUUUGUUCAACAACAGUACAAUGACAGAAAGAACAUCAGUUCAAAAAAAUAUGCAAGAGGUUUGGGAGCCAAACAACUGGAGGUUCAAAGAUUGUCGUGGAGCAAGUUCAAGAGUUUGUUUUCAUGUGAAAAAAUGUGAUUUUUUGGUCAAGAUUUUGCAUGAUUGAUAGCCAUUAGUGGCAGCUGGCCAGCAGUUCAAGCCCGCAUGCGCGAGCCGCCCAUCGUCUUCCACACGUGAUCCUGUUGCUUGAUGAUGCUUGACAUGAACUGAACUAGCUCGAUGGAAUUGUUUUUCUGCAAUGUAAUGUAAAUGAAUAUGGUAAACAAACUGGGACACCAGAUUGUUUUAGAGGUGGAGUUUGUGCUCCAGUUGAGUUCCAGCAGAUUGUGGUUGCUGGUUGUUUCAAGUG